rnacentral:rRNA from 1 species
AUGCGCGCCGCGUUUUGUUCGGCGGAUCACGCGAAUCUGCCCGUCGACUCCAUGGAGUCCGGGCUGGGCUGUUUCCGCCCCCGCGGUGCUUCCACGCCAGUAUUGGCGAAUCUGUUCGUUGCCGUUUGCUUUCCCUCUCUCGAAUCCGAUCCGAUUCCGCCCCUUUGGCAGAUCGGCGAGCCGAGAGGAGCAGAGAUGGGGCUCACGUUCACCAAGCUGUUCAGCCGCCUCUUCGCCAAGAAGGAGAUGAGGAUUCUCAUGGUUGGUCUCGAUGCCGCUGGUAAGACCACCAUCCUCUACAAGCUCAAGCUCGGAGAGAUCGUCACCACCAUCCCAACCAUCGGAUUCAACGUCGAAACUGUUGAAUACAAGAACAUCAGCUUCACUGUUUGGGAUGUGGGGGGCCAAGACAAGAUCAGGCCCCUGUGGAGGCACUACUUCCAGAAUACCCAAGGGCUCAUUUUUGUUGUUGACAGCAAUGAUAGGGAACGUGUUGUUGAGGCUAGAGAUGAGCUCCACAGAAUGCUGAAUGAGGAUGAGCUGCGUGAUGCUGUGUUGCUUGUAUUUGCAAACAAACAAGAUCUUCCUAAUGCCAUGAAUGCUGCUGAAAUCACCGACAAGCUUGGUCUGCACUCCCUGCGCCAGCGGCACUGGUACAUUCAGAGCACUUGCGCGACGUCUGGCGAAGGGUUGUACGAGGGUCUUGACUGGCUCUCCAACAACAUUGCCAACAAGGUAUGUUAUAGCCUCAACUGA